GUGGGGAAUAUUGGGCAAUGGGCGCAAGCCUGACGCAGCCAUGCCGCGUGAAUGAUGAAGGUCUUAGGAUUGUAAAAUUCUUUCACCGGGGACGAUAAUGACGGUACCCGGAGAAGAAGCUCCGGCUAACUUCGUGCCAGCAGCCGCGGUAAUACGAAGGGGGCUAGCGUUGCUCGGAAUUACUGGGCGUAAAGGGCGCGUAGGCGGACAGCUUAGUCAGAGGUGAAAGCCCAGGGCUCAACCUUGGAAUUGCCUUUGAUACUGGCUGUCUUGAGUUUGGGAGAGGUGAGUGGAACUCCGAGUGUAGAGGUGAAAUUCGUAGAUAUUCGGAAGAACACCAGUGGCGAAGGCGAAUCACUGGCCCAAUACUGACGCUGAGGCGCGAAAGCGUGGGGAGCAAACAGGAUUAGAAACCCGGGUAGUCC
rnacentral:rRNA from 1 species